rnacentral:tRNA from 1 species
UGCUUUUUAGUUUAAUGUAAAACAUGGAUUUUGUAAAUCUAAAAUGAUCUAAAGCAA